rnacentral:rRNA from 1 species
AACGAACGCUGGCGGCGUGGAUAAGACAUGCAAGUCGAACGGGACAGACCGAGUAGCAAUAUUUGGAAUGUUCAGUGGCGAACGGGUGCGUAACACGUGGAUAACAUUCCGGAAAGCGGGGAAUAGCCCAGGGAAACUUGGAUUAAUACCGCAUGUGGCCGCAAGGCUAAAGACGGGGACCGCAAGGCCUGUCACUUUCCGAUUGGUCCGCGGCCUAUCAGCUAGUUGGCGGGGUAAUGGCCCACCAAGGCUACGACGGGUAGCUGGGCGUAGAGGACGACCAGCCACACUGGAACUGAGACACGGUCCAGACACCUACGGGUGGCAGCAGUCGAGAAUCUUUCACAAUGGGGGCAACCCUGGUGGAGCGACGCCGCGUGGAGGAUAAGGUCUUCGGAUUGUAAACUCCUGUCAUGCGAGAACAAGGUACUCAGGCUAAUAACCUGAUUGUUUGAUGGUACCGCAAGAGGAAGAGACGGCUAACUCUGUGCCAGCAGCCGCCGUAACAC